rnacentral:rRNA from 1 species
ACGUAGGGUGCGAGCGUUAAUCGGAAUUACUGGGCGUAAAGGGUGUGUAGGCGGACGUAUUAGUCUCGUGUCAAAGCCUCUGGCCUAACCAGAGAUCCGCACGGGAAACGGUACGACUAGGAGGGUGCGAGAGGUGAAUGGAACUCACGGUGUAGGGGUGAAAUCCGUUGAUAUCGUGGGGAACGCCAAAAGCGAAGGCAAUUCACUGGCGCAUACCUGACGCUGAAACACGAAAGCCAGGGUAUCGAAUGGGA